GGAGAGACUGUGCAGUAGUUAUCAUUAGGAAGACCCCCUGGAGCUGCCAUUCCUGCUCUAUGAUUCUAAUGGGUGGUCCGGUGCACUCAGCGCCGCACUGAGGUGGACAGCAGAGGAGCAGUGUUGGGCAGCAGAUACAUAGAAGAAGAACUUGAUGUAGAAAGAGAGAUGCUCCCCCUGCAGUCUUUACUGUGCCUACAGCAUAUCCGAGAUCAGUAUGAAAUACCUACAAUCAAAAUCCCGACGGUCAAAAUCCUAACAAGGUCAAAACCCCGCAAGGUCAAAAUACUGGCAUUUAAAAUGUCAACAGGUCAAAAAGACGAAAGGAAAAUGGCCCAGACGCGCUGUCACAGCUGCCAGAAGGGAUUGUCGGUCCCUGAAAAUAUUUCAGAAUAAGAAAGUGUAAACUGGCGCUUAUGUGUUUCUCCAAUAUUAAUAAUGAC